rnacentral:rRNA from 1 species
AUUGAACGCUCGCGGCAGGCCUAACACAUGCAAGUCGAACGAGUGGCGGACGGGUGAGUAAUAUCUGGGAAACUGCCUGAUGGAGGGGGCUAAAUACAGGAAACGGCAGCUAAUACCGCAUAUCAUUGGAUGUGCCAAUAUGGGAUUAGCUAGUAGGUGGGGUAAAGGCUCACCAAGGCGACGAUCCCUAGCUGGUCUGAGAGGAUGACCAUCCACACUGUGACUGAGACACGGUCCAGACUCCUACGGGAGGCAGCAGUGGGGAAUUUUGAACAAUGGGCGCAACCCUGAUGCAGCCAUCCCGCGUGUAUGAUGAAGGCCUUCGGGUUGUAAAGUACUUUCGGCGGGGAAGCGUUAUCCGCAGAAUAAGCACCGGCUAACUCCGUGCCAGCAGCCGCGGUAAUUC